CUCAAAACAAACAAACAAAACAAAGAGAUGGAGAGUAUGGAUCCAGACAUCAGUGAGCCCCUGGAUCCAGCCAUGCCUGAAACCAGCUGCAGCCUGGACUAACCUGAUUUUUAGAGACGGGGUUUCACUGUUAGCCAGGAUGGUCUCGAUCUCCUGACCUCAUGAUCUGCCCCUGCUUCGGCCUCCCAAAGUGCUGGGAUUACAGGCGUGAGCCACGGCGCCCGGCUGUCAGGUCUUACCUUGGCCUUUCCUUCCUGGCUCAAAACCUGUGGGUUCACCUCACAGGUGAGCAACCUCCAGCUUGACCUCAAGUCCUUCUUUUACAAUACGUUCUCAAGGAGACAGAAGCCAAGAGUCUGGGCCCUGCCUCUUCCUUAGCUCCGACCCCAGGCUCACAAAGGAAUUGGAGGCAAGAAUCAACAAUCAAUUUGGAUACCAUCAAGACACCUGAAACCUUAUCAUGAGCCAAAUGCUGAGGAAGAGAUUCCGGGGGGGAUCCCCCAGUUGCAGUCAUGUCAAGACUGAUGCUGAGGAGGACCCCAACUGUCACGAGCAACACCUGUCAAAC
rnacentral:lncRNA from 10 species